CUCUGCGUUAGACGAGGUUAUGUUAGGUUAUGUGCGUCUCUCGCGCGCCCACUUGACUCUGUACCUUUCGACCGCUUGACGUAAUCCACGCAACAUAUCUCGCGUAGCUGUUGCAAAAAUUCGUAAAAAUAUAAUGAUAAACUUGGAUCGAUAAAAAAAUCGUGCAGCGAGAUAUAAUUUAUCUUGAUGAAUGUGAUAAGUAUAACUUAUUAUUCCUAAGAAUACAAAUAUAAAAAAACAAAUAUAUUUGUGAUUAUUUAAAUAAAAACGGCUUUUCAAAU